UUAUACUACGCACCCAUCUCUGUCAAUCCACCGCCAUCUUGAAACACCAAUCGCGACUCCCUGAUCUCUAGUGUGACAUCUGAUGCUUAAUCUCUCUCUCCGACCGCCUUUUUAUCAUCUUCUUCUCCAUCUCUUGCCCUUUCUUGCUUAACGUAACUCAAGCUCUCCGGUCUCUACAUGGAGUGGCAUCAGUCUUCGUCCUCUUCGACGACAACGACGGCGAGGCCGCCGGCGCCACCACAGGCAGCAGAAGGGGAGAAGAAGGCGAGGCUGCAGAAGGAGCAAGCGUCCAACUGCCCUCGGUGUAACUCCACCAACACCAAAUUCUGCUAUUACAACAACUACAGCCUCAGCCAGCCGCGCUAUUUCUGCAAGACCUGCCGCCGCUACUGGACCGAGGGCGGCUCCCUCCGCAAUGUCCCCGUCGGCGGCGGCUCCCGCAAGAACAAACGCCCCUCCUCCCUCUCCUCCUCCACUUCCUCCACCGCCACUUCCGCUGCUACUUCAAUAAUUCCACCUAAUCCCAAGAAACUUCUCCUCCCCGGCGUCGGCGGUGAUUUCAUUCCCGCCUCGGGUGUCGCACCUAUUUCCUUUUCCACUGCUACCACUACCCACAAGCUAACGCAGGAUGGGGUACAAGACCUCCACCUCGGCUUACCCCACCUGGUCCUCACUCCGCUACCGGACUUUGGCGCUACGAGUAGCAGCGCCACGGGACUACUUAGGCCGUUCUUGCCGUUGUCAACGCUUUCGGAAUUAUACUCCUCAUCCGGGUUCGGGUUAAUGCAGGAUCUGAUCAGGGCUCCCCCACUUAGCUUUCCGGUGGACGCUGGCGCCGGUGGCGGGAUUGGAGGAGUAAGUGGUGGUUUUGAGGCUGUAGGGAUGAGUAAUUCCGAAAAGACCGGCAGGCUUUUGUUCCCUUUUGAAGAUAUAAAGCCAUUAGUAGUCCACGAUCCAACAAAUACUAGUGCUGCUGCUGCUGCUCCUGCUCCUGCUGGUGGUGGUAAUGGUUCAGGUUCUGCUUCAGCUUCUGAGUUUGAGAUGAGUGGCAGAUCAAGCCAAGCUGCAGGGGAUCCGCCUGGAUUUUGGAGUGACAUCAUUGGCGAUUCAAGUGGAACCGGAGAAGGCUGGUAGGAAGAAGAAAAAAAGGGUGAGAUACCUCCAUUGCCAUCGAUGGAGCUAUAAAAUUAAAUAAAAUGCAGGGAUUUUGAAAUUUGAAGGAGAGUAACUAACACAAGGACAAACAAGCAUGGAGUUUAGGUUUUACUUCUACAGCUUUACAUGUGAAGCUUCUCUUUUUUGUGCUGGCUUCAAAUUAAAAGUUAAUUAAAUUGGCAGCUGCAUGAAUGAGGUGUGAGGGGCGGUGUCUCAUUAUUCGUGCGGAGAUUCUUCCAGCUAUGAAGUCAGUAAAGUGAAGCUAAGUAAGUACGAGGGAAGGGAUAAGUAGGUAUGGACGAGUUCUAAGUACAUUUCCUCCACAUGCAACGCAUAUGUGUGAAUAUAUUUGUAUUAUAGUAUAAUAUAAUUAGUAGGUCAUUUAGUUAUGGCAGGCAAAUGCAUGCAUGAGCCAUAUCAUAUCAUGCACAGAUAGAUUCACUGCGAGUGGGAAGACGAAUCUCUCCCAUAUCUUAACCUGUCACUUUGAUUUUAGAUUUGGACUGCUGAUGGAAAAAACUAUUUUAGUUGUUUUUUAUCUUUUUGAAAAGAAGGCAAACAGGAUAUCUAAAUUUUUUUUGGGAAGAGAAUAUAGCUAAAGUAACCUAGUUGCAUAAUCUAUUCUCUGUAGAUGUUGGGAUUGCAUGUCUCAUUGGUAAUCACGCAAAGUUUCAUUUGCAUCGGGCAGUUUAAGUUUUGAUCAAAUUUGUUGGUGCUUCGUGAUUGUGGCAAUUGAUGAACAUAAUUUGAUGGUCAACUUAACGUCAAACAAGUGUUUUAAAUGCCUUGUAUUCAUCUUUCAUUUCUUCAGACUUUAAAGUGUUUGAUAAAAUUUGCCUCUUAAUUUUCUUGUCUUCAGAACGUUUGAAGGCCAACUUAGCAUCAAAUAAUUGUUUGAAUGCUUCUAUAUUCACCUUUCAUUAAUACAAUUAGCCUCUUAAUUCUAUCAGUGCUAGCUCUCUUUUUUGUAUUAAGAAAUAUUGUCCUAGAAUUUGUUAUUACAAAAUAGUGAGCUAAAUUUUUAAAAAUCAUAUAUUUUUUAGUUUUCUUUAUGAAUAGUUUGUGCAAUUCUGACUAAAGCCAUAGACAUAUAGGAACUAUAUAAUUUGUAGCUACUCUCUAUAUUCCGAUUUGCAUUAUACUUUUGAUUUUGUUAAAUCAAUUAAUAAUCAGUUGUUGCCGAGUAUAGUAAUUAAGAUGGCGAGAAUCAUCAUUUUCAUUGAGCAGAUCUUUGAUUACAAAAGUAUAGUUGAUGAUUUUAAGGCUAAAUUUGUUGCCAUUCAACAUUUUGACAUUGUUUUUAUUUAGUGGAUACAUCGUAGAGCUCAUACCACAAACCAAGUGUUAUCAUCCUUCACGAGGAGGGAUGUCUACCUAUUAUAUAAAAAAAAAUGAAACCAUCCUUCAAUUAUAAUCUCUAAUUGAAUUUUUUUAUGGUAUUGUAUUGCAUGAGAUGUCUUAUGGUUCUUAAUGAAGGAGUUUAUGAUUUUGUUAGAUGGGAGUCUUUGCUUAUCACUAUGCAAGUUAACUGAAAGUGUUGAGAUUUGAUUUUUUU